AAAAAUUUUCACUAAAUUCUCCAAAAAUUAAAAUUAAUAUAUAACAUAAAGUAAAGAAGUAUAUAUAGAAAGUUUUCCAUUACUAUUAAAUGUUUCCCAUUCUUAACCCCACGCUGCCAUACGCUCCACCACAUGCCACCACUGGUACGCUCCGACGACCACACACGAUACGCCACCAGCUUCGAUGACCACACACGCCACCAGUAGCUCCGAAUGCACACACCACCAGUAGGUUGGGGAGAUUAUUUCAAGAUUUGAGAAAAAGGGGUUUAAGCUAACUGCAUUGUGGCUUUUUCAAUGCCCCAAAGAUUUGGCAAAGAUAAGCUUCCUGAUAACUGGAGUGAGGCAUCAAUAUAUCUUCCAUAUGCUCACUGGACCGUUUCUUUGUUAUACCUGGUAAACAGAUCCAUAUACUUGCAUGCCUCUCAGCCCGUAAGCAGGAAAUGGAAAUUAUUACACCUUUUAAGGUUAUGGCCGUCGUGAAUAAAAAUGGUAUUAGACAAAGCAACCA